rnacentral:tRNA from 2 species
GGAGAGGUGUCCGAGUGGCUGAAGGAGCACGCCUGGAAAGUGUGUAUACGUUAACAGCGUAUCGAGGGUUCGAAUCCCUCUCUCUCCGCCA